rnacentral:lncRNA from 1 species
CCGAUAUAUUUAUUAUAUAUUAUUUAUUUGAUAUAUUUAAUGAACCUAAAAUAUGAAGGGGAAAAAUUAUAAUAGAGACUAGAAAGAGUAUUUCAUGAAUAAUUAAUUAGGUCAGCAUUCAACAAUUGCUUAUAAUCCUCUUAAAGCAAUUAGAAUUGGGAUACCAACCCCUUUUAAGUUUUGACAACACAUAAACUUAUCUAAGAUCAAACCCAUGUCAAUUGCUUAUCUCAAAAUGUCCAUUUUUUAUUUUCUUCAUUUAAGGUAAAUUCUAAUAUGGACCACUUCAUCAAGUGGUCCAUGGUGGACCAGUCAUGAAUAACAUUAUAAC